CGGUGAUUGGGUCUGGAUGCAUGGUGGUGGGCUGUCAGAAAGGUUGCUCCCUGAUGUUCCAUCUGUUGGGAUUGCUAUGUAGUGAUGAUUGCCGUUACGAUACGAUGAGAUGGUUCUACAAUUGGGUUCGUAUCAUCUUCCUCCUAAAAAAUGAGAUCAAGGGUACUGGCCCUAUCCUUCCUCUAGUGCUAAUCUGUUGCUGUACCUCUCUAAUGGUGUGAUAAGAUGUUAGAAGACGCCCGUUAAGCUGGAGUAGUCGAUUUUGAUCUAGGAUCCGAAAUCCUAUAAGAAAGUCCAAACACACCAAAGAAGAUGGGGGUUCUUCGACGGGAGACCUUUCAAUGGUUAA
rnacentral:lncRNA from 1 species